UAUGGAAGUUCCCAGGCUAGGGGUCAAAUCAGAGCUAUAGCUGCCAACCUACACCACAGCCACAGCAACAUGGAAGCCGAGCCACAUCCGCAAACUGUACCCCAGCUCACGGCAACACAAGAUCCUUAAUGCACUGAGCAGGGCCAGGGAUCAAACCCAAGUUCUCAAGGAUACUAGUUGGGUUCAUUACCAUUGAACCACAAUGGGAACUCUGCAAAGACCCCUUUUCCAUAGAAGGUACAGUUUACAGGGUCCAGGGAUUAGCACAAGGGUAUCUUUCAGGGCCGUUAUCAGCCAACGCAAGAAUAGACAUGGGGUGCGUGUGCAUGAUGAUCAGGAGGGAGGCUAAAGUCGGAGCAAGCGGAGCAGGGUAGAGACGUAUGUGUUCAGAGUGAAGGGAGGACGGAGAUGUCAGCGGGAGCCAAUCGGGGGUCAGGAACCAAGCAGACAAGAGCAGGUCAGGAAGCCAGGCUGGAGUGAGGCCAAGAGUGCAAGUCCUGGCUGGUCCCCCCCAGGCAGGAAGCAGAGGACAAAUGCCAGAAUCCUACAAUAAGGGGAAGGUGGGGAUGAGCAGAGGGAAGCCACCGGAGCAGCACAGGAAGGAGAGUAAAACAUCCAUCUACACUGACCUUUGGGCAAAUGAGAAAACACACCCCUUACUGGGAUGCUUUACUGCCAUGCUUGGAAAAUUAUCAUAAUACACUGAUAUUGUCAGAAUGAGCAACUCUAUUGCUUUGGGGUUGGAGGAGAGAUUAUUGUAAUUAACACAAAUCUAAUGAGGCCCCCUUAGGUAUACCUAGAGCCUACUCCACCAUGUGUGUUGGAAUACACAUGCCCACAAGAGGGUGAGAACCAGGGCAAGUGAAGUGGAGGAGCUCCCAGGUCCAAAAGGGAGGCUUGGGCAAGGUGCAGGGAUAGGCUCUGAUGCUGCCCAUGGCUGGGCUUUUACAGCCAUCCAUCUACCUUCUAUUUGUCUGAUAGACAAAGGCUGGCUCCACUGAAACAGUCAGGAUGGGACAGGCAGACGAGCAGGGGGUAAAGGCCUUGAAGGUUCUUUUAUUUGGUGCUGUUGCUGUGAUUCUAAAGCAGAGUCGUGGACAUAAGCAUUCCCCAGGACCAAAGGCCAGCACAGUCUCCUCUGGGGUGUCAGGGCUGUUUGACCACCCAAUGACAACUGCCAUUUAUGGAGCAUCUACCCAGGCCAGGCACUGCCCACUUAGCCACAUCACCCUUAAUCCUUACCACAGCCCUGCCGCAUCAGUGCUAUCAUUCAUCUCCCCUCUACAGAUGAUGACACCGAGGCUUCAACAGAGUAAGCAACUUGCUUGGGGCUACACAGGAAGGAAGCUGCAAGGCCGGGAUUGACCCUGGGCUGCCUGGGGCUCCGUGCCGCCUCCCACCAGGAGACGGGCAGUCCCAGGCCAGGUGCACUUGGCCUCCUGAGCCUGGGUCCAGCCUUCCAUCUCCUCGGGCCUGACCCACUCACUCUGUUUGGGAGUUGAACAGUAAAUUAAAGGGCUUCAUUAUCUCAUUUGAGAGUGGAAUAAAAACCCUUUGGAAAGGCAGGUGCAUUAAGUGCAAUCAAGUUCUGAAAGGUUCUCCGUCGCUGGAAGGAACAUCCUCUGAUAAAUUGCUCUUUUCACCGCGAUGUGGCUAAUAUCUCCUGAGCAGUCCCAGCAGUGCCCACUGCAGAUGUUCCUGCAUCUUCACAAAGGAUUUUAAAGAGACCAGAUUCCUUCCCAAGAGAGCAAGUCACUUUUGCAAUGUCCAAAAAGAUGUCCUGGGUACAGCCCCCUCUCCUGUGACCUGCCGAGAAGGAACUCAGGGGCUGCUUUGGAUCUGCUGUCACUCAGG
ensembl:lncRNA